UUUGUAGAGGAUGUUUCGGGUACCGCCCCGGUCUAAAUUUCUUGGAACAGAAUGUCAGAGAGGGUGAGAAUCCCGUCUUGGACCGGCGGUAGGGCCCAUGUGAAACUCCUUCGACGAGUCGAGUUGUUUGGGAAUGCAGCUCUAAAUGGGUGGUAAAUUUCAUCUAAAGCUAAAUAUUGGCCAGAGACCGAUAGCGCACAAGUAGAGUGAUCGAAAGAUGAAAAGCACUUUGAAAAGAGAGUUAAACAGUAUGUGAAAUUGUUGAAAGGGAAGCGCUGGCAAUCAGACUUGGGCGCGGCGGUUCCCCCUGCCUUCUGGCUGGGCUACUCCGCCGCGAACAGGCCAACAUCGGUUCUGGGGGCCGGUUAAAGGCUCUGGGAAUGUACCUACCCUCCGGGCGUAGACUUAUAGCCCAGAGUGUCAUGCGGCCUCCCGGGACCGAGGAACGCGCUUCGGCUCGGAUGUUGGCGUAAUGGUUGUCAGCGACCCGUCUUGAAACACGGACCAA
rnacentral:rRNA from 1 species